UACGUAGGGUGCAAGCGUUGUCCGGAAUCAUUGGGCGUAAAGAGCGUGUAGGCGGCUCGAUUAGUCCGCUGUAAAAGUCCAGGGCUCAACCCUGGGAUGCCGGUGGAAACUGUCGGGCUAGAGUCCGGGAGAGGCGAGUGGAAUUCCUGGUGUAGCGGUGAAAUGCGCAGAUAUCAGGAAGAACACCAAUGGCGAAAGCAGCUCUCUGGGACGGUACUGACGCUGAGACGCGAAAGCGUGGGGAGCGAACAGG
rnacentral:rRNA from 1 species